rnacentral:rRNA from 1 species
GUUUGAUCCUGGCUCAGGACGAACGCUGGCGGCGGGCCUAACACAUGCAAGUCGAAGGAGAAGGGUUGUGCUUGCACAACCUGGAGACUGGCGCACGGGUGAGUAACGCGUAGAUAAUCUGCCUAUAGCAGGAGGGCAACCACGCGAAAGUGUGGCUAAUACUCCACGAUGCAGCGGGGCCGCAUGGCCACAGUUGUUAAAGCCUUUGGGUGGCUAUAGAUGAGUCUGCGUGCUAUUAGUUAGUUGGUAGGGUAACGGCCUACCAAGGCGAUGAUAGCUAGGGGGUCUGAGAGGAUGAUCCCCCACACUGGGACUGAGACACGGCCCAGACUCCUACGGGAGGCAGCAGUGAGGAAUCUUGCGCAAUGGGGGAAACCCUGACGCAGCCACGCCGCGUGCCGGAAGACGGCCCUAUGGGUUGUAAACGGCUUUUGUUUGGGAAGAAAGUGCAGGUUUUGACCAGCAUUGACGGUACCAUUUGAAUCAGCACCGGCUAACUCCGUGCCAGCAGCCGCGGUAAUACGGAGGGUGCAAGCGUUGUCCGGAAUCAUUGGGUGUAAAGGGUGCGUAGGCUGGCUCUUAAGUCUGGGGUGAAAUCUUGCCGCUUAACGGUAAAAUUGCCUUGGAUACUGGGAGUCUUGAAUCUGACAGAGGUCGGUGGAAUUUGUAGUGUAGCGGUGGAGAUGCAUUGAUAGUACGGAGAGCAUGCAGUGGAGGAGGCGGCCGGCUAAGGUCAGUAUUGACGCUGAGGGCACGAGAUCGUGGGGAGCGAACAGGGAUUAGAUACCCUGGUAGUGCACGCUGUAAGCGAUGUAUGAUAGUUGUUGGGUUUUCGGAUUCAGUGACGCAGUUAACGCAGUAAGCAUGCCACCUGGGGAGUACGUUCGCAAGAAUGAAACUCAAAGGAAUUGACGGGGGCCCGCACAAAGCGGUGGAGCAUGUGGCUUAAUUCGAUGCAACGCGAAGAACCUUACCCGGGCUAAAUCUCAGGCAACCGGUCCCGAAACGGACCUUCCCUUCGGGGCGGCUGAGAAGGUGCUGCAUGGCUGUCGUCAGCUCGUGCCGUGAGGUGUUGCCUUAAGUGGCGCAACGAGCGCAACCCCUGUGGUUAGUUACCAGCACGUAAUGGUGGGGACUCUAGCCAGACUGCCUACGCAAGUAGUGAGGAAGGUGGGGACGACGUCAAGUCAUCGUGGCCUUAAUGUCCGGGACUGCACACGUGAUACAAUGGAUGGAACAGAGGGAAGCCACCACGCAAGUGGGCGCAGAUCUCGUAAGCCAUUCCCAGUUCGGAUUAGAGUCUUCAACUCGACUCCAUGAAGGGGGAAUCGGUAGUAAUCGGGUAUCGGCAAUGCCACGAAGAAUACGUUCCCGGGCCUUGUACACGCCGCCCGUCAAGAGAUGGAAGUCAGGAGUACCUGAUGUCGCCGCAAUAAGUGGUGCCUAGGGUAAGCCUGGUAACAGGCGCUAAGUCGU